CUUUUUAUGGGGGGGGACUACUAAAAUUGGAACGAUACAGAGAAGAUUAGCAUGGCCUCUGCACAAGGAUGACAUGCAAAUUCAUUAAGCGUUCCAUAAUUUU